UACGGAGGGUGCGAGCGUUGUCCGGAAUUACUGGGCGUAAAGCGCACGUAGGCGGCUUUGUAAGUUAGAGGUGAAAGCCCGGAGCUCAACUCCGGAACUGCCUUUAAGACUGCAUCGCUUGAAUCCAGGAGAGGUGAGUGGAAUUCCGAGUGUAGAGGUGAAAUUCGUAGAUAUCGGGAGGAACACCGGUGGCGAAGGCGGCGACCUGGGUAGAUACUGACGCUGAGGCGCGAAAGCGUGGGGAGCAAACAGG
rnacentral:rRNA from 1 species